UACGUAGGGAGCAAGCGUUGUUCGGAUUUACUGGGCGUAAAGGGCGCGUAGGCGGCAAAUUAAGUCAGCUGUGAAAUCUCCGGGCUUAACUCGGAAAGGUCAACUGAUACUGUGCGACUAGAGUGCAGAAGGGGCAACUGGAAUUCUCGGUGUAGCGGUGAAAUGCGUAGAUAUCGAGAGGAACACCUGCGGCGAAGGCGGGUUGCUGGGCUGACACUGACGCUGAUGCGCGAAAGCCAGGGGAGCGAACGGG
rnacentral:rRNA from 1 species